CCUCUCCCUCUUCUUCCUUUGCUUCACUCACCUUUGAUUGGCUUGUUACAGAGUGAACUUACUCACCCACCCUCUGUUCUGAGCGGUUUUUCCCCCUAAAGAAUUUUAGAACUGUAAGAUUCUGUAAUGAGAAGAUGUGUGAAUGCUGUCUGAACUGGCUGUGGCCUUGUCCGGAUGCACCUGUGAGUUCUCGACCUGAUAAGCUGCCUCUGUGGCCAGGAUUCUGCUUUGCCUCAGGACUUCAAGUCUGAGGGCUGGCUACUCUACCAGUGAGCUGCUGCUGGCAGCCUCUUGAGCAAGGAUGGGAAAAACCAAACCAUGGCAACGAAGCCGUACUAUAUUGUCCUUUCACGAUAGAUGCAGAAGCUGAAGAACUUGUAUCUGUUCUAACUUUACAAAGCUUUUUGUCAUCUUUCAGGUUUUUAUUUUUAUUUGUUCAUUAAAAAAAAAGAUUUAAUUCACAUACUAAAAAUUCACUCUUUUGCAGUGUACAAUUGAGUCGCUUUUUUGUUUUGUUUGGUUUACUUACAAAGUUGGAUACGAUUAUCAUUUCCUAAUUCCAGAAUAUUCUCACCAUGGCAACUAAUGACUCAUGCUCAUCAGUAGUCACUCCAUCUUCCCCAACCCCAGAUCCUGACAGCCACGUACCUACUUCCUGCCUCUGUGGAUUUGUGCAUCCUGGGAACUUUCUAGAAAUGGAGUCAUAGACAAUGAGACCUUUGCAUCUUGCUUUUUUUUCCCCACCUGCCAUUUAGUGUUUUCAAGGGUCAUCCUUGUUAUAGCAGGCAACCAAACUGCGUUUCUUUUUUAUGGCUGACUGACAUUUCAUUGUAUGGAUAUAAGACAUUUUCCUGACAUUUUCUUUAUCCAUUCAUCAACUUGUGGACGUUUUAGUUGUUUAUACUUAUCGUCUAUCAUAAAUAAUGUUGCUAUAAGUGUUCAUGUACUCUUAUGUAUGCAUCUGUGGUAACUUUUUGAGGAACUUCCAAAUUAUUUCUCAAAACCACUGUAACAUUUACAUUCUCAGAGUGGCAGCUCCUUUUUCUCCACACCUGUGUCAACACUUGUAAUUGCUGUUUUGAUUGUAGACAUUGCAGGGACUGUGAAAUGGUAUGUCAUUACAGUUUGUAUUUACACUUUCCUAAUGACAGUAUUGUUGAGAAAUUCAUAGCCUUAUUCAUUCAUUCAUUCAUUCAUUCAUUCAUUCAUUCAUUUUCUCUCUCUCUCUCUCUCUCUCUCUCUCUCUCUGGGUGUCUGUGUGUUUACAUGUACUCAUGCACUUGGAGAUCUAUGUAUUCAAUUCUUUUUUCAUUCCUUCAGAAAUCAAACUCCAUCAGAAACGAUUUGCAAGUAUUUCCCCAUUCUGUGACUUUCUAGAUUGUGCCCUAAAUUUAUAACGCAAGGCAUUUCAAAUUUCAACGAAGCCUAAUUUAUUCGUGUUUUCUUUUUGGCUUGUGUCACGCAUUGUACCACAUACAGAGACCCUCUACAGUGAUACAAAGCUAACAGUAAGUGAAGGCACUUUUUUUUGCCUUCAAGUUAAUUAGAAUCUUUCAUGAACAAAGCAGAAAGAUGAAGAGGGCAUAGAGAGGCUUGUUGCCAUGUAGAUUACUCACCUCAUCUUCAGCUGGUCUUUGCUCAAAUGUCACUUCCUCAGAGGGACGUGCAUGGACAACUGAUCUAAAGACCACUUCUGUAACUACUGAUCCGCACCCUCCUCUUAAUGGCUUUCUAGUGCUAAACUUUAUUUCUUUUUCACCCAAAUGUAAGCUCCAAAGAGACAGGUACUUUGUGUGCCUUCCCUGCUGAAUGCCAAGUACUUGGAAUACUCCUGGUACAUAGUGAUUCCUAAGGAAGAUUGACAUGAAGAGCCAGGGCAGUAUCACAGACAGAGGGGACCAGCUCUCCCAAGGAAAGGACAGAGACGUCCAUGUAAGAAUUGGGAAAGCUUAAGCAAUGUCUUAAAACCAAAUCAAUGAUCACUUCUCGGCCCUUUGGCUAAGAUCAAGUGUAAAACCAAAUUGAUGAUAGGCUGUUCUACCUUCAUUUCUGCUGCUGUGAUUGCAGACCAUGACAAAAACAACAUAAGAGAGGACAGUUUUAUGUGGCUUACAAGUCUAGGUACAGCCAUUACCGAAGGAAGCCAAGUUAAGAAGUCAUGCAGCCCACCACAUCCUAUUCACCGUGAAGGAUAGAGAAAAACAACAUGGACAUAUUACUUUCUCUGUCUUAUGCAGUUCUGGGCCCAAAUCUUGGGAAUGGUACCCAUUACAAUGGGCUGGAUCUUCUGGCACCAAUCAGUAAUGAAGACAAUCUUCCCAUAAACAUACCCAUAGGCCAACCUGAUCUACGAAGUUCCUCAGUUGGGACUCUCUCCAUAAUGAUACAUGGACCAAUCUACAUGCAUUUUACUAGGGUGAAGGAGUUGUCUGAAGGCCCAGUUAAGGGUGUUGUAAGGAAGUGGAGCAUUACAGAAGAAAAGGCAGAGUUGUUAGGAGCCCUUCAGUAGAGUCAGGCUGGUGUCUGACCCACGAUCCUGGAAAUUCCAAGCCUUAGGGUGAAAUCUAGAAUGGGAUGUCUGAUCUUUAAGAUGUUCUUCAACACCAAGAGUUCAGAAUUCUACUUCAGCAAGGACAGCUUUCGAUGUAGCAAUUUUUUAGUGUUUUUCUUGCAUAUGAGAGUCCUCUGAUUUAGUCUUCAAAACAAAAAGGGAGAUAAUCUUUAAAGUAAAAAUACUGUUUCCUCCUUUCUGAAGUGAAAUAUAGCAUGCAGGAAUCCAUCUUAAAUGAGUUAUUAAUGGGACACACACACCCCCACACACAUAUACACACAUAUACAUACAUACACACACACACACGUACACACAUGGGCACAUAUAGAUAUAUACAUGCACAAAUAGACACACACCUACACCCACACACAUACACACAAUACACAUAUACAAAUGCACACAUAUAUGCAGAUAUACACACAUACACACAUACACACAUGUAUACACAUAUACACACAUAUACACACAUAUACAAAUGCACAUAUAUACACAGAUAUACAUAUAUACACACAUACACAUAUAUGUACAUAUAUAUACACAUACACACUCAGACAUACAGAUACACACACACACACACACACACACACACACACACACACAGCAUUGCGAGAGCCACCCAGAUAAAAGGUGAUUUUGUUUACUCUAGAAGCCUCCCUUACAUACUUUUCCAAUCAAUAAUUCCUAGAGGUAAACCUAUAGAAACCUAAUUUCUAUAAACAUAGACUAAUUUUUCUUGCUUUUGUGCUUCUGGUUAAUGAACUCAUGAAGUAGUCACCAUGUCUAGAUUUUCUCUUUUCUCAGCAUGUCUGUGAGCUUAUUCUAUAUUGGUGCACAGACUGAUGGACACACCAAUAUAUAAAUAAUGUUAUAUUGCCAGACACAGCAUAGUUCACUUAUCCAGUCUACUAUUGAAGAGGAUUGGAUUUUUAAAGCUAUUAGUGGUUAUGAAAAAAGCUCUAAGAUUUAUGUAUUUGUUUGCUUGGUUUGUAAACAAAAUCAUGUUUCUCCUUGCAUGUACCAAGGAGCAAAACUUUUGAUUCCUAGUCUGGACUUCUCUCUUUGCAUGGUAAUAUUCAAAGGAUACAAUUGUUCCACAGCCUUUCAACAGUUACUAUUAUGUAGUGACAGAAUAUACUUUUAUGUGUAAUUCUCUAGUAUAAAUUAUAUUGACAUUUUCUUAUGCUUGUUGUUCAAUUUGACAUCCUUUUGUGGGGAAGUGAAAAGAAAUGCCUGUUCAAGACUUUUCUCCAACCUAAAUUGGGUCUGUAGAACUCUCUCUCUCUCUCUCUCUCUCUCUCUCUCUCUCUCUCUCUCUUUCUCUCUCUCUCUCUCUCUCUCUCUCUCUCUCUGUGUGUGUGUGUGUGUAUGUGUCUGUAUGUGAGAGAUACAGACAGACAGACAGACAGACAAUGGAACUUGAACAUGCUAGGCAAAUGCUCACUGUACUACUACCUCUAUUUUGAGAAGGAUUUUUUUUCUAGGCUGACAUUUACCUUGUGAUCAUCCUGCCUCAACCUCUCAAGCAAUGUGAUUAGCAGUAUGCAUUGCAGAUAUGGCUUCUGCAUGUAUUCAUGUUAGCUACAUUAUAUCAGUCACAUAAAAUUAUAUCAUGAAUAUCAUGUAUAUAUCAUGUAUAUAUAGACUAUAUGUAAAGGUAUAUAAAUAUAACAUGUACAACUAUUAUUUAUACAUUAACAGAUUUUUAUAAAAAUCCAAUUCAUUGUUUUCUUUCCUUAAUGGUCUUUAUAUGCUGUAUUAUAAGCAUGUUUAAAAGACAGGGUCUCAUUUGCAGCCCUGGCUGUCCUGGAACUCACUAUAUAGGAUGAGUUGGCCUCAAAUACACAGAGAUCCACCUGCCUCUGCCUCCUGAGUGCUGUGAUUAAGGCAUGGGCCUCAAACAUCUUUUUUUUUUAAUUCCAAGUUUAUAAGAAAAAAAAUUUCCUCCAUUUUCUUCAGAAGGAUAAUCAUUUUAGUUUUUCAAUUAUGUCUCCAUGUUUAAAAAAAAUGCCACAUUGAGGUUAGCAUGCAAAGAAAUGGGUUUCAUCAUGGCGUCCUCCUUCAUGUGUGUAAUUUUUCUAUGUUCUCAUGUGUUCCCUGACCACUGCUUUUCCCCAGGUCCCCUGCCUGCAGCCUUUCCCCCUUCAGUUACAUGCUGCCUCUGCUUUUGCUUUUCACGUCAUCUCUAUACACAUGACUUUAUAUAUCUAUUCAAACUCUCAGAACCACAAGACUCCAUUUUCUUUGUGGCUGAAAAAACUCCACUGUGUACUUACAGCACAUUUUCUUUAUUGGUUCUUCUGUCAUUGGACACCUACGUUGGGUCCCUAAGAAAGCUAUUGCAGACACUGGUGUGUAAGGAUCUCUGUGGUAGAUUGACUCAGAGACCUUUGAGUAAAUGGACAGGAAUGGUACCGAUGGCUUAUAUGGGAGAUCUAGUUUUACACUUUUAGAGUUCUCCACGUUGGUUUCCUAAUGGCUGGACUGGUCUCUCAGGGUUCUCGUUCACCCAUAUCCUCCCAGCAUUUGCUCUUUUUUUCUGAGUGGCUGCAAUUCCCAGAGGGGCGAAAUUGGUGUGUUUUUAACAAAUGUUAUUUCUCAAAGUACUGUUGCUAUUAUUACCUCACUAGGUACUUAUAGCAAUCCUGUGGCUCCAGUUGAGCGGGUGGAAUCUGCUCUACCAGGGCUGAGAAUGAGGUCCACGGCCACCCAGCAGAUGAGAGGAGCAUCUAGGUCCCAGCGCCGAUUCUGACAGAGCCUCUAGCAACAGCGAUUUUUGUUGUUGCUCCUAAAAUAGAGCAGGGAGUAGGAUAAUUGCCUCAGAACUAUGCUUCAUUUUAAAAACCGUAGCCUAAUUUGAGAUUGACUACAGAAGUGCAGAAAAUGAGAUCUUGAAAGGAAGAUAGGCUGUUAUAAGGAGUCAAUUUCUUCCUAUUGGUAUAAUUAAUGAGAUAAAACUACUUUAAGACUUUUUUGAGCUGCAACGAAAGUUGAGUAACUUUGAAAUUCCUUUUUAUACUUAUUUGAAAGUGAAACAAGAAUCUGCUGCUGAUGUGGGCCUAGAGAAAUUCUUAUGCUAUGCCCGAUAACUGGGCACUACAUGACAACUGUCGUUGUAGAACACAGUGAGUGUGGCACCAAGAACUGCCCCCAAGGUGUUCUUCAUUCCCGUUAGCUCAGUGAUCUUAUUCCAAGAGAGUGUAUCUUAUAUGUUCUGUUAAUAUUUAUUUUUAAUAGUGAAAGCAGAAUAUUAUGUUGGAAAUACAGGUGGAGUAUUUGCCUACGCACACGAGCACACACACACACACACACACACACACACACACAUGCAAGCACUAAAGCACAUGCAUGUUUAUACAAAGCAGGAUCUUUACUAAAAUAUUAUAAUUAGUGUGGCUAGAUAUCUGUAUUCACAUUCAAAUUAACGCAUGGCACCCAGUGCCUUCCCUGAUGGACUAGCUCAUGGUUUUACUUGAUACACUCGCCCCAAGGACGGAGCUGUUCAGGAUGGGGCUUCGGGAAGUAAUAGAAGCAGCUCGGCAUGCCUGGGCAUUCAGCAGUAACUACUCCUUCCUUUUACAGGUCAGAAUAGUUAAUGUACUGCUUCCUCUAUUCCACUGCCCUUUUACCUAAUUAUAGAUAACCCCAAGGGUAUUAGCUGGACAACAUGAGGCGACCAAUGCCAUCCCAAACUGUAAAGCACCAGCAAAUGUCACCAUCAGCAACAGUUCCGCUUGAUGUAUAUUGUUUAUUUGUUUCUCUCAGGAUUUCUAGCCAGAUGUCCAGAGUCCCAGGCUGCAACCAGAAAUGGAAAGCUUUGAUGCUUCAGGGAGAGUCCGUUGAGAACUCCACUAACCAAACAGCCUGAACAUCUAUGAAUUUUCAGCACCACAGGGUAAAAGGGAAAAGGAAUUCUUCUGAGGUCAUUUCUUAUUACAGACUUGGCUUGACUCGUAGAAACGUCUCAUGGGGUGGGGGUUGGGGGUUGUAGAAAUGGCAUUAAAGGUUAAGUUUUUAAAAAUACAUAGCUCAUUCAAGUUACUGAAAUGUUCUUAUACGAAGUAGCUAUUGUAGUAGUUCCCUCCAGACCUCAUGUUGAGUGUGCGUGUGUGCACAGAAACCGAUGCUUAGCUUGCCCAGACAUCUCAGAACUGGGCAAAUGUGUGCAAACAGCUUGAAAAGGGACCACUCGGGGCUUUCAUGCUCUUCGCUGGUAUACACUUUUCAUGAUUCUUCAAUGUGAACACUAGGUUGCAACUCUCCCACUCCGCUUGCAUUUGCCUGCUGUCUCCCUCUCUUUCUCUAGCUCACUCUUAGAAUGGAGUCUUACUUGGAGGAGUAGAAAAAUAUAGCUCAGAGCUGAACUCAUUUUGUCAUAUGUUCCAUUAUGCUGGGAGCCAGAGAGCUGUCGUCAAGCCAGACUUGUGUUCUGUUGGGCUGCAGAAUAUGUCAGAAAGAGUCAGAGGUGAGUGACCCAAACGCCACAGAUUUUAAGCUUUAAUCAGUCAUAUUUUGCUCUGCAGAGUGACCAGUUUAUUAGAUUCUGUUUUAAGAUGACUCUCAGGGGGGGGGGCACAGUUGUUCAGAAGACAUUAGAGAACCCCAUUGUUUCCCAAGGGCUUAAUAACCACACUGUGGCGGCAGGCAGGCCUCUCAAAGUAUUAUAUGGCUCUUCUUAAAGCAUUCGCCUCCAUUUCUGAGGUAAUGAAAGUGAUCUGAAAAGGAUUUUUCUCCAGUAACAAGCCCUGAGAAAUAGGUCUUUUCGCUCUUUGUAUCUCAUUCCUUUUUGUAGGCACGAGAUGUUCUUCAUACAGCUGAGCCCCACGAUGCUUUUACUGUGUGUUGUUGAGAGACAGAGCUUUAAGGUAUUGUUCUAUAUCAACUAGGUCUUGAGUGGGAAACACUGGGUGGGGAAGUAAUUCAGUACCCUGGAACAGGCCUUAUUUGCUAUGGACUUAUGAAGCAAUCUAAUUGCCCUGCUUGCUCAGGGAACCAAAAAAGAACCGAGAAGCCUGCUACGGGAUGCAUUUAAGUCAGAAUUUGUGCUUGCAUACUUUUAAAAAUCACCAUGGCUUACAUGGCCACAAAACUGAGCCCCUGAUCAGAACCUGCACCGUGUGAUGUGCCUCUCCUAAAAUACUCAUAAACGAGGAAAGCAGCUUAGCAGAGAGACGCAAAAAAUGUACAUGUAGUUCAUGCAAAAUAGAUAACCUCAUGUGGUGGAUGCAGGAGAUGAUGUUGGCAUGGGUGGAGGGAGCAACAGAUGGGCUUUGGGGGGUGAGAAUGAGCCAAGGGGAGCAGCUCAGACAUGAGGGACAGUACCCCACAUCAUCAACCUCUUCGUUUGAAGCAGGGUUCAUUUAACUGCAGUAGACAGGGAGAAGGGGAUGAUUGUGAAAACGGAGACUAAGGCAGCCUCCCUUCCGAAGCUCGCUGGAGUCUCCCUCAGAUGCUACCGGUAGUCUGGAGAGCUGACCCCAAGGGCAUGAGAACAGGAGAGCUAGCCUUGCCCCCUCAGGGGCUGUAGUAUUUGGAAGAACGGCCCUGAACCUUGCCUGGGCAUCACAGUGGAGCUGGUCCUGAUGGUGAAGGCACAGGAAGUUCCUGACCCCAGAUUACCCACAGGAAGAGCAGAGCAGAGACACUGAGGGUUGUCUAUAUGGGAAGGGACAGACAUGGUUUUCUCAGGGGAGUUGUUCCAGGUAUUUGGGCUGUCUUUAUCUGGCCCACCUCACUAUGGCUUCCUGAAAAAAAAAGGCAACGAAAUGGAGCUAGCUGUACAGUCAUCUGCCUGUAGGCACUGUCCAGACAGCACAGAGAAGGUAGCAGGCCCAGAAAGAACACCAUAGCCCUGUGGAAUGAAGGAGACAGACAUGGCUAUGGCUCCUGAGGAAGAAUGUACAGCGUAGACUGCCAGAGGAGAAGCUAAGGAAAAACGGGCCAUGAAUACCUACACUGCAGAUUUACUGAUCCUUCAACCAAAGGCUAAGAUCUCUUGGUAGAGAACCUUCCUUGAGCCUGCACUUUCAAUUUUGGAACCAUCUUUUCUGGAAUGUGUUGUGCGGAAAACAGCAGCAGCAGCAUUACAAUGGGGCAGCCUGGCCCUCAGCGUGCGCCUACACUUGCACUAGGAGGAGACAACGGGAUAGCAGCUCUCUCCCUGCUGGGUGUGAUUUCAGACUCCGGAGCUUCCGUGCUUUUAAAAAUGAAACAACAACAACAACAAAAACCACACUCAUCCCUCUUCACACUGACAGGAAGUCUGUAUUGUACUGGUAAGGAGAGUCCGUUCUUCAGAGCCAUGGCUUUGAAAGAUGAGAUGGCUAAACACCGUGUGGUGGUGCACAUCGACAAUGCCAGCCCUGAAGGGUAGAGGAGUAUGUGAAGUGCAAGGUCCUCCUUCAUCACAUACAGAGAAUUUGAUGUUAGCCUGCGCUACCGGAGGCUGUCUCAGAAGAAAUAAAACAAGCCUGGCAUUGUGGCGCAUGCCUUUAAUCCCAGUGAUCGGGAGGCAGAGGCAGGCAAAUCUCUGUUGAGUUUGAGGCCAGCCUGGUCUACCAAGUGAGUCCAGGACUGUCAGGGCUGGUUACACUGAAAAACCAUGUCUUGAAAAACCGAAAAACAGAAAACCCACAAAACAACAGUAAAGAGUGGGUGUCUAGCCCUGCUGGUGUAUUAAUGGCAUUCGACGUUGUUUGGUUGGUUGGUUGGUUGGUUUCCCUGGUUCCUUACUGUGAAGGAGAAAGCCUUUGCCUUGAAGAGCUUUCCUGGCUCACCACUUCCCUCAGGUUCGGCUCCGUGGUCCCUCAUACGGUGAACAUGGGCUCUAGAUGCAUCUUUGGCUAAGUGGGGUUCCUGAGCACCCAUGGAAACAGAGGUUUGGCACAGCUCAGAGCUUUUCUCGCCAAGCACGG